UACAGAGGUCCCAAGCGUUGUUCGGAUUCAUUGGGCGAAAAGGGUGCGUAGGCGGCGCGGUAAGUCGGGUGUGAAAUCUCGGGGCUUAACUCCGAAACUGCAUUCGAUACUGCCGUGCUUGAGGACUGGAGAGGAGACUGGAAUUUACGGUGUAGCGGUGAAAUGCGUAGAUAUCGUAAGGAAGACCAGUGGCGAAGGCGGGUCUCUGGACAGUUCCUGACGCUGAGGCACGAAGGCCAGGGGAGCAAACGGG
rnacentral:rRNA from 1 species